rnacentral:misc_RNA from 1 species
GUUGAAGAACGUAGCGAAAUGCGAUAAGUAAUGUGAAUUGCAGAAUUCAGUGAAUCAUCGAAUCUUUGAACGCACAUUGCGCCCGCCAGUAUUCUGGCGGGCAUGCCUGUCUGAGCGUCAUUUCAACCCUCAUGCCCCUAGGGCGUGGUGUUGGGGAUCGGCCAAAGCCCGCGAGGGACGGCCGGCCCCUAAAUCUAGUGGCGGACCCGUCGUGGCCUCCUCUGCGAAGUAGUGAUAUUCCGCAUCGGAGAGCGAUGAGCCCCUGCCGUUAAACCCCCAACUUUCCAAGGUUGACCUCAGAUCAGGUAGGAAUACCCGCUGAACUUAAGCAUAUCAAUAAGCGGAGGA